UGAGGUCAUAAAGGCAGGGCUCUAACCCAAUAGGACUGGUGUUCUUAUAAGAAGAAGAAGGGACAUCAGAGAUCUCUCUCAGAGCACAGGGAGAAGAAACGCCAUGUGAGGACCCAGCAAGAAGGUGGCUGUCUGCAAGCAGAGAAGAGAGCACUCACCAGAAACAGAAUUUGCUGGCACUUGUAUCUUGGACUUCUGGCCUCUGGAAGUACUCUUGCUACUAUCUGCAUCGAUCUACACUGGGCUUGAGCAUGAACAUCCUGAGGGGCCACCCUGCUCUGAUGCCAGGCCCUGCAGGGGCUCCAUGACCAUGGGGCAUGAGUGAGUUCACAGCACUGAGAUGCACAUGAACAGGGCUUCAAACCCCAGCUCACCUCUGAUGCCCCUUGUGACAGCUCUUCACCUGACAAGAGGAUGUUGUCAUCUUCCUGACAUCCCCCAGCACCUGCAUAGUGAGAUGCAAAUCUACCUCAGGGCACUCAGAUGCCACCAGACAUGGAUGUAGCCACCGAUUCUCCAGACACAUCUUGCCCUUUCAUUUGAUGCUCUACUGGAUCUUAAAAUGACAGUCAGGCUACCUGUUUCCUGUCUGCACACCUUUGGCUACACUCUCUGCUACUCAUCUUUCAAGGCCAAGUUCAAACAUCACCUCCUCACGGAAGCCCUCCUGGUGUCCUCCUGAUUGUUCCUACAACCUCUGCAUCUAUUUCCACAGCAGCCCUUGACACAUCAUGUCCUGUAACAUGUCUGCUUGUCCAUUCUCCUCUGAGUGUGAGCUCCUUGAAGACACAGCGAUUCUCCAGGGCCUAGCACAAUCUCUGCCAUAUAGUAUGUGCUCAAUAAAUACUUACUGAAUAAGUGAAUAAAUGGAGCAAUAACAUACUAA
rnacentral:lncRNA from 1 species